rnacentral:rRNA from 1 species
GCCAGACUCCUACGGGAGGCAGCAGUGGGGAAUAUUGCACAAUGGGGGAAACCCUGAUGCAGCGACGCCGCGUGAGUGAAGAAGUAUUUCGGUAUGUAAAGCUCUAUCAGCAGGGAAGAAAAAAGACGGUACCUGACUAAGAAGCCCCGGCUAACUACGUGCCAGCAGCCGCGGUAAUACGUAGGGGGCAAGCGUUAUCCGGAUUUACUGGGUGUAAAGGGAGCGUAGACGGCGCGGCAAGUCUGAAGUGAAAGGCAGGGGCUUAACCCCUGAACUGCUUUGGAAACUGCCAUGCUAGAGUGCUGGAGAGGUAAGUGGAAUUCCUAGUGUAGCGGUGAAAUGCGUAGAUAUUAGGAGGAACACCAGUGGCGAAGGCGACUUUCUGGACUGUACCUGACGCUGAGGCGCGAAAGCGUGGGUAGCGAACGGGAUUAGAUACCCCAGUAC